UACAGAGACCUCAAGCGUUAUCCGGAAUCAUUGGGCGUAAAGCGUACCGAUCUGUGGUGUAACAAGUCAGAUGUGAAAUCCCAAGGCUCAACUUUGGGACUGUCAUUUGAAACUGUUACGCUAGAGGGGCAAAGAGGAAGCUGGAACGAACGGUGUAGUAGUGAAAUGCGUUGAUAUCGUUCGGAACACCAAUAGCGAAGGCAGGCUUCUGGGUGCCACCUGACACUGCUAGGACGAAAGCGUGGGGAGCGAAUGGG
rnacentral:rRNA from 1 species